UUUACUGAUGGAAUAAUGGAAUAAAUGUUUUUACUGGAUUGGAUCGUCUGGACCCUUGGCAACGUAACAAGACCAUUUUUGUUGGAAUAUAAUCAAUCGGUGGAUUACUAUGAGGCUUCAAAGUUCUCAUGACCCUCAACCCCAACCCCGGUUUUUCGCCUCUCUCUACUCUCAGCGGUAACACGGUGGUCAGCACAGUGGCGUCACGGCAAGAAGGGUUGAACCUCGCCCGUCCCUGGUCCUUUCUGUGUGGACUGUGCAUAUUCUCCCAGUGUUCGCAUGGGUUUCCACUAGGGGCAUUAUGAAGCAGAAGCUCCUCGAGACGUGUGUCCACCCUGAGUCUUGACCCCCAUGCUCCAGCCCAUCAUGACUCUUUUCGACCUCCGUUCAUCCUCAUGUAAUCAACUCCCUUCAUCCCACCCCUCGACCCCUUUCAUCUAACAUCUUUCGGCUCCUGUUCAUCCACUGGUAAUCGACCCCCUUCAACUCUUCCCUUGAA